GUCUCAUUCUUCUCCUUCACGCCGCUUUGUGAUACUCAUAGAUCUAUCUCUGCAUCUUCUUUGAAUUCAUCCUCAUUGCUAGAUCUUCUUCUUCAAUCCCCUGUCGCAUAAACCCUUCUCCCAAUGAUUCCUACAGAUCCAUACACCGACCAAGCAUAAAUUCUAUUAAUCUUCAAAUAGAAUCGGCGGCGUUAGGGUUUUGUUGAAGAAAAUACAAAUUGUAUUUAUUUUGUUGAUUCAAGCAUAAAUACGGAUUCCUCAGGAGCUGGUUGGAUUACUCCCCUAAAAGAUAUUGUAACAUCCCUAUUUGAACUUUGGAAUAUAAUGAACACAAGAAGAUAAGAAAAACAACACUUUUCAAGAGUAACAUCCAUUAUUCGAGUGUCGGAAGCCGAAGUUGUUGAACCAGGAUAUCUUUCAACCGAGGUUAUUAAACAAGCGUCACAAGAGGUCGAGAGGCUCAAUAAACUCAAAACAAGCAGGAUGAAAAUGAAUAAUCUUUUAGUAUAGGGCUGGUGGACCGGGUGAACUUUUAGCGAAAAUUGAAGCGCAAAUAAGUGAAGUAUCAAAUGCAGCUUUGAGCCGAAAAGAAAUCAUGGACCGCAUAGAUCGGUGGCUCUCUGCUUGUGAGGAGGACAUCUGGCUUGAAGAUUACAAUAUGUUUGCUUUGCUUUUUUGUAGGAUCAAAACCGAUUCAGUGGCGGAAGAAGUGCUCAUAUAAGUUUAAAACGGGCUAAACGAGCUCGAAUUACCAUCAAGAAGAUUCCAUGCUGCUAUUGAACCAAACGCCCCCUUAGGUUUAGGAAUGUAUUGGUGACCUUUUUAACCUUUCUAAUCAUCCUCUAAGAAAUUAUUUUCAGGUAUUGAAGGUACAGUGACAUCAAAAGUUGGGAAGCACUAUGCUUUUACAAGAUUUAAAGCAUUGAAAGAAAGAUUCAUAUCAAGGAUGCAUAUGGGGAAGAUGGGGUCUUGAUUCAUAAAGAUCCUCAGGUUGUUACCUUGCUAUCGGAGAAGAUGAAAAUGCAACUCCUCAUUAUAUGAAAUGCUAUCUUUUGUAGAAGUGAAAGAUGGGCAGGGCUCCAUGUUAUGAUAAAGAAAAUGUAAAGAGGGGUCCUUGGUCUACCGAAGAAGACAUGGGCGUAUAUAGCUUGACACAAGGGGUAGCCCCUGCUACCCCUUGACGCUCCAACGAUCCGCCAUUGGAAGAAGAUGCAAAACUCAAGAACCUCAUUGAAAACUAUGCUACUAGAUGUAUCUGGAUUGUUCUCCCUCACAAAGCUGUCUUACCAUGCACUAUUUUUGGGGUUUAAAUCUAUUUUUUCUCUUAUGCGGAGGAUGCGGCAAGUUACAUACAUAGAGUAGGCCGCACAGCCUUUUAUGAUUGUGUAGGGCGGUCGGUCUUAUUUCUCUUGCAUACUGAGAUGAAAAUGCUCGAGAGAUUACAAACGAAAAAUAUACCCGUUCAAUUUGACAAGGGAAUGCACGAGGGCCUCCACCAGUGUUAAGUGUUAAUAAAGAAACAACAACCGGUUUUAUGAAGUUUUUUCGGCUCGGUUUCGGCUGAUGGGUCAGUGAGGGUGUUUGAUUUACGGCAUUAGGAGCAUUCGACGAUUAUUUACGAGAGUUCUGAGCCGGAUACGCCGUUUGUUCGACUUGGGUGGAAUAAGCAGGAUCCGAGGUAUAUGGCGACGAUUAUAAUGGAUAUCGCGAAGUUGGCUGUGUUGGAUAUUUGGUUUCCGACGUUGCCGGUUGUGGAGCUGCAGAGGCAUCAGGCGGUUGUGAAUGCGAUUGCGUGGGGGCCGCAUACUUCAUGUCAUAUUUGUAUUGCGGGUGAUGAUUCACAAGCGCUUAUUUGGGAUUUGAGUUCUAUGGGGCAGCCGGUUGAAGAAGGGUUGGAUCCGGUUUUGGCGUGCCCUUUUUCCUUCGAUGACAGAGAUUGAAAUGGAUAAAGUGGAUUCUCCCUAAUGGGUACUGCGGGUGCCGAGAUUGAACAGUUGCAGUGGUCGUCUUCGCAACCGGAUUUGGUUGCCAUUGCUUUUGCGUCGAAGCUGCAGAUUCUGAGGGUAUGAUUGUGUUAAAAUGUUGGUCUUUUUUGUAAUCGUGUUUGGUUGGUUGCAUUGAUUUUAGGUUGACUUGUAGCCUAUAUAGAUUUGGGAAUACACUGACAUUUGCAUUUGCUUCUUACCCAUUUAAAUGCUUUUAGUUUUUUGGUUGUGAUUG